rnacentral:rRNA from 1 species
UACCCAUCCCGAACACGGUCGUUAAGCCCUUCAGCGCCGAUGGUACUGCGUGGGCAACCGCGUGGGAGAGUAGGUCGCCGCCGUCC